CGGUGCAAAAAAAAAAAAAAAGAGGGCUAUUGCAGGACAACCAGGGAACUUAGGCGCAAAUUACUUCAUGUGGAUGCUUUUUGAGAAAGUGAGGUUUACAUUGGAUGGCCUAGAAUGUAAUAAAAUUGGUGAUGGCUAUGAUGCUUAGCCAACCAAAUUUCUGCCCUUCACCAUUAUUGGAGUUGCUUGCAUAAUCAGUUAUGGAACUUCCAUGAGGCAGAUAUGAACCGGAUCAAUCGGCACCAACUUUCUUUAUAUGGAUUACAAGGAAGAAAUCAACAUCCAAACGCGGGGGCUCACUCGUUCUCCAUAGGAGUCACAGAAACACUCAACACAAAUCUUAUGAUAGAGCUAAGAGCUGAUGAUAUUGAAUGCGUUUUCCAGAGGUAAAAAAAGAGUCUUAAAACUUGUAGGAGUUAAAAACUCAAAAAUUUAGUGAUUAUGUGGAAGACGUACGUAUGUAUGUGAUAUGAUCAUUCCACAGUAAUAUAGAGGGGAUAUAUGCUAAUAACAAUAUGAUCGAUUCCUUGUAGAUUUGAUAGGUUACAUGUUUUUUAUAU